UUCCGCCGCCCCAAGCGUCUGCCUCCGUUGGCUUAGGUGGGAGAAAGAUAUUGCCGUGCUGUUCUUCACAAACGCAUAGAAAUUGUCACCCAGGCGCCUAGGUAGUGCUGCCACUUCUUUGCGGUGUGUCAUCUCUUGCAUUCGAUAUCAGUGCUUGCAUAUUCUUGGGCGACUCCCCCCCCCCCCAAAUACAGAGCCAAGCAAAAAAAAAUACCAGGUGCGCACUUCCGACCCCGUCACGGAGACCACUGUCAAACAACACAUUCCACGGUAAAAAAGAAGUAGCGUCACACACCCUCACUUCUGCUGUGCUUGCCGUUUUCGCUUUUUUUUACUGCGGCGAACUUUUAGCUGAGACACUACAUCGCCUUUUGACUCCGUCCUGCACUCCGUGGCUCUCUCUUUAGGUAUUCUUUCCGUCUCAUCACAUUCGCGCAGCUGAUAGUUUGGUGGAAACUGACGGUGCAUCGAAGCCGCACCUUGUGACCCUUCCUUUUCAGUCUAGUAGUAGUGGGAGUAGUAGUAGUGAUCCUCCUUCCUGCUUCGUUCUCUGCCUGUGCGCGCGUCUUGGCGUAGCGUGCGGUUCUCCGUAUCGCACUUACAAACAGUGCUUCUUUCCCAUCUCGCGCGUUGCGUGGUGGACCACAUGCUCUGCUCACGAUCACUGCUAGGUGCGUUCUGUAGCACCACGCGCCUUCUCACCAUCAGCGAUGAGUACAUUCCCCGCGCCUUUCCGGUGAAGUCGACGACCGGCCUCGCCGGUGUGGCUGUGGAGCCUCUGUGGAAGCCGAAGCUGCUUGCCGCCGCCUCGGAGCUGCAAGCGUUCCUCCACACAUCCGACAUUCCGCCAGAGUCGACCUAUUACAACGUAACCAUGACCUUAGUAAAGCGCAUCAACUACGGCAUCAAGGAGUGCCAGGAUGACUGGUGCACGCUAGAGAAGAAGUUCUUCUGGGGCUGGCCAGUGGAGUAUAUCCUUCAAGUGACCUGGCGCGAGCUUGAGACGGCGCAGAAGUGGAAUGAGUGGCGCUUUUGGGAGCUGGACCCGGAGCAGGUGAAGCGCGUAGCCCGCGAGGAUCAGGCCAUAGGGAAGGAGGGCUUAGGCUACAACACUCCUUGGGAGCAAGUUGUGCGCGAGGACUUCGACAAGCGCAAGAAGGCUCUCACACAGGAGGAGAUGGCGGAGCUCAAGCGCAUGGACACGGAGCGGAUGGCGCGCGAGACGGCGGCGUACAAGGAGCGCAAGGAACGCAUCCGUGACGACUUAGAGAAGGCGCGUGGCGAGAUGCUCAAAAAGUUCCUGAACAAGCGGUACGCCGUAGACAAGGAUCUGAUGCGGAUGCAGCCGGGUAAGAGCUACUCUGGCAAGAGCGCCGACGACCUUAUUCACGAACUGCGCGCCUCCGUGAAGCAGACCCCUCCCCCUGCCAACAAGUAGGCAGCCGGAUCUCGCUUGCAGCGCGGCAGCGCUGCAUGAGAUGUGCACGAGAGGCUUCGGCUGGGUGUGGCUUGGCCGUGCGCGAGAGCGACCACAGAGUGCGCUGCGACCACCUUUUUGAUAUUGCUCGGAGAAGGGUGUGGGAUGCGGGUAUUGUCUUGUGGCGGCGUCUGUGUUGUGUGUGCGGAUGUUGCGCGUCGGCCUUCUGUGAGGUUUUAUAUGUGUAUCAUCCUCUCCUUCACCGUUUCUUCGUGUUUUGCACCGUCCAGCUGUUUCCUCUUAGCUAGGUAUUCUACAUUAUCCGCAGCUGCGACCGCCAUUCCGAAAAUGAGCACGAAUCUCUCUGUCACAUCAAACUUCGCACCUUUGAUUCGGUGCUGUC
rnacentral:misc_RNA from 1 species